GCUUUUAGAUAGUUUUCAGUAACUGCGAGUACGUUUUUUGAGUUUAACCAAGGCAACUAAAUUUUAGUUUGUUUUAUAUUGUACUGUUAAAUAACUGUCCCAGGUCAGAGGACGGUAGAGCGCUCAUAAACUUGUUUUAAAUCACCCAUAUACCUAAUUUGCAUGUCGCAAGUCAGAAAUCUGUAGUGCAGUGGUUGUCGUUGGUGUGUGUCAUAUUUGUUUUUCGUAAAUUUUCUUUUUUUAGUAGACCGUAAAUUUCUGGUUUGAAUUGUUUCCCAUUUUUCAUAUCGGUGGCUGAAUUUUUGUCUCAUGUGCAAUCAACCACAUCUCCUUAUUUAAUACAUUCUAUAUUGAACCGAAUUGUAAAAGAAAAGGAAUAUAGAAUACAAAUACAAAUUGUAAACUGUUUUACUCAGUUUGUUUUUACGAACUCAAGUAGUGCUUCUUUUUU
rnacentral:lncRNA from 1 species